GACGAACGCUGGCGGCGUGCCUAAUACAUGCAAGUUGAGCGCUGAAGGUUGGUACUUGUACCAACUGGAUGAGCAGCGAACGGGUGAGUAACGCGUGGGGAAUCUGCCUUUGAGCGGGGGACAACAUUUGGAAACGAAUGCUAAUACCGCAUAAAAACUUUAAACACAAGUUUUAAGUUUGAAAGAUGCAAUUGCAUCACUCAAAGAUGAUCCCGCGCUGUAUUAGCUAGUUGGUGAGGUAAAGGCUCACCAAGGCGAUGAUACAUAGCCGACCUGAGAGGGUGAUCGGCCACAUUGGGACUGAGACACGGCCCAAACUCCUACGGGAGGCAGCAGUAGGGAAUCUUCGGCAAUGGACGAAAGUCUGACCGAGCAACGCCGCGGGAGUGAAGAAGGUUUUCGGAUCGUAAAACUCGGUUGGUAGAGAAGAACGUUGGUGAGAGUGGAAAGCUCAUCAAGUGACGGUAACUACCCAGAAAGGGACGGCUAACUACGUG
rnacentral:rRNA from 1 species